UGGCAUUCAUCUCCGUGCUGGUCUUUGAGGAGACCUCCAAUACAUGGGUCUGAUUGCUGGAAGGAUAAACCAAAUUCCAUUUAAGACCAAUUCAAGCCUCAUCCAAAUUUCCCCCUGUGAUAGAACGGAGAUACAGCCAAUGGACUUGGAGAUUCAUAUCAUGUCUCCACCUACCCUCUCGUUUUGCCCUGUCGGGUUCAGCCUCUCCACUCCUGCUGAGGAAGACAGAGUGGGUUUGUAGCACUGAAUCAUGGGGUGAGAACCCCAUUGUGCUGUUGGGAGCUGAAGACCAAAAAAAUUCCAUCUCGUUGGGUUUCCUGUGAAGUAGAGAAUGAAGAUUAUUUUAAAGGGAUCCAAGUGGAAUGUUUUUCAAGCUACAAAUAAAGCUAUCUACCCUCCCAA